UAGCCGGCGGACGGGUGAGUAACACGUGGGUAACCUGCCCAUAAGACUGGGAUAACUCCGGGAAACCGGGGCUAAUACCGGAUAACAUUUUGAACCGCAUGGUUCGAAAUUGAAAGGCGGCUUCGGCUGUCACUUAUGGAUGGACCCGCGUCGCAUUAGCUAGUUGGUGAGGUAACGGCUCACCAAGGCAACGAUGCGUAGCCGACCUGAGAGGGUGAUCGGCCACACUGGGACUGAGACACGGCCCAGACUCCUACGGGAGGCAGCAGUAGGGAAUCUUCCGCAAUGGACGAAAGUCUGACGGAGCAACGCCGCGUGAGUGAUGAAGGCUUUCGGGUCGUAAAACUCUGUUGUUAGGGAAGAACAAGUGCUAGUUGAAUAAGCUGGCACCUUGACGGUACCUAACCAGAAAGCCACGGCUAACUACGUGCCAGCAGCCGCGGUAAUACGUAGGUGGCAAGCGUUAUCCGGAAUUAUUGGGCGUAAAGCGCGCGCAGGUGGUUUCUUAAGUCUGAUGUGAAAGCCCACGGCUCAACCGUGGAGGGUCAUUGGAAAACUGGGAGACUUGAGUGCAGAAGAGGAAAGUGGAAUUCCAUGUGUAGCGGUGAAAUGCGUAGAGAUAUGGAGGAACACCAGUGGCGAAGCGACUUUUCUGGGUCUGUAACUCACACUGACGCGCGAAAGCGUGGGGGAGCAA
rnacentral:rRNA from 1 species